rnacentral:lncRNA from 1 species
CUUAAGACUGUGGUGAUAAGAUGCUUUCCUCAGCAGAAAGGAGGGAAAAAAAACAACUGGAACUCAAAGCUUGAAAUUCUGUGGCAAAACAUGAGAUGUCCAGGAUUGGAGGUUGAAAAGAUUUCACUACAGUGUUCUGCAAUAGUUGGAGCAGAUAACUUUCAGUGUAGCCACAGCCAUGGACUCCAGAUUUCCAGAUUUUCAAGACCUGGACCUGGAACCCGAAAGAGCUUGUCACGAUGCGGCAGGAACACUGGAGGUAGAUUUUUUUUUAUUUUUGAAUUUUGGGACUGUUGACCUUGCUGUGAGAAAAGAGACAACGACUGAGCAAGCACUACCACCAGCACUGUUACUGGGAAUUAGAAGACCUGAGUUUCUGUCCAGACCCUCAGUGCAAACUGAGGAUGCUCCAUCCAAAGUGAAUUAUGAUAGCAGACUCCUUGAAAGCAGGGUCCUUGUUUAGUGCAUCUUUGCCCACAUACACCACAACAUAUCAAGAUGCAUUUAUUAGGAAGGAGGAGUUUAGAGAGCAGGCUAUCAGAAUAACCACUCAUCCUGUGCCUCCUGAUUGCUGAGUGUUCACCUGGACCUUCUGACUACCUUCCCUGUGCUAUUCCAUCAGCCUACAGACCUGGUACCUGGAUUUUUGCCCGAGAUGAUUCCUACCACCUUACUACUGACGAAGACACCCAUUCCAGUGGACCACUGUGACCCAGGAGGCAUUCAGCCAUCAUGAUGUGGCCUUUACCUCCACUCCUGUCUUGUUCUACCCAGAUUCAGCACAGCCCUUUAUAGUGAAGUCAGAGUCCUCAAGCCAAAUAGCUAAAGCUGUUUUAUCACAACAAAGGCCUAGUUUGUUCCAUGAGUGUGCAUUUCAUUUCUUCAGUUAAAGCCUUCAGAGACACACAAUAAAUUUGGACCAGGGGAUUUUUUAGUUAUUAAUGCUCUCUGAAGAAAGGCAACAUCUUUUUGAGAGCAGCAUUGGACCACACCCCACAAUCUCAAAUGAUUGAAAUUCAUGAACAUCUAGGAUCCCGUGAAGGUCACUGGACCCUGUUUUUUCUACUUCAAAUCCUGUAGUAGCCUACUGAAUGAGAAAACAUAUUCUGACCCAUUGGGAUCAAAUCAAAGGCACAGUGAACUCCUCAUAGCAUCUUCUUUGGAAUUACUCAGGAACCAGAACUUUUUACACAAAUGUAAGAAAUUCUACCAAGGAGUCCCCUUACCUAACAGCAUCUCACAAGGCUG